rnacentral:misc_RNA from 1 species
GUGAGUCAUCGAAUCUUUGAACGCACAUUGCGCCCCUUGGUAUUCCGGGGGGCAUGCCUCUUCCAGCGUCAUUUCACCCCUCAAGCUCUGCUUGGUUUUGGGCCGGGCCGGCAACGGCAGGCCUCAAAAAUAGUGGCGGCGCCAUCGUGCUCUCAGCGUAGUAAUGUUUCUCGCUGUUGAGUCUCGGUGGUCGUCCGCCAGCAACCCUCAACUUUCUAAGUUUGACCUGGGAUGAGGUAGGGAUACCCGCUGAACUUAAGCAUAUCAAUAAGCGGAGGA